rnacentral:rRNA from 1 species
UACGAGGGGUGCGAGCGUUGCUCGGAAUUAUUGGGCGUAAAGGGUAGGUAGGUGGUCUCAUUUGUCCGGGGUGAAAGCCUUGAGCUUAACUCAAGAAGUGCCUCGGAAACGGUGAGACUCGAGUCCUGGAGAGGGUCGUGGAAUUCCCGGUGUAGCGGUGAAAUGCGUAGAGAUCGGGAGGAACACCAGAGGCGAAGGCGGCGACCUGGACAGGCACUGACACUCAACUACGAAAGCGUGGGGAGCAAACAGG